GGGGUGAAGAAGAUCUUUCUGGCUUCUUCAGGCUGGAAAGGGACGAUGUGGGGCAAGCAGUUUGGAGUCCCCCUUUAAAAAUCGGGUCUAUCGAGUGGUCCAUGAUAGAAGUCUGAUUGAGAAGUAAUAGGCUGGAGGGCCAUUUGAGUGAUGGAUGGUCUAUAAGAGAAACAAGAAUUCAUUAGUACUGGAACCAUAUUGAUGCAGCAAUAAAUGCCGUAGCACAGGAAUAUGCCAAUGAGUAUGAUGACAAAGACAAAGACUAACAAUGUUUUCCACCGGGAAGUACCAAGAACCAGGAGCUAAGACAUUGUUUCCAUGACAGAGUUGCUGAGGACAUGGCUUCUAUCUGAGCAUGUAAAUCUUUAAGGAUAUUUGUCACAUUGCCAGAAAUGUCAGGGAUGUAAACACAACAUUUAACUUUUAGGGUUACAGAUGUCCUUUUCCUUAAGAUACAGUUUAAUAAUUUAAUGUCAUCUGGUCUUGUAAAAUCCUUUUACUAGUAUGACCUCUGUGUCUAAUAGAGAAAUCUUUAAUUCUGUUACUUAGGGCUGGAUAACCAUACUUGCAAACACUAAGCCUACCUGUGUAAGUUAGAAAUAAAGGCCUUAAACUAAAAACUACUCUGGCAGUUCCUUUUGAUAGUUAUCAGGCAUUCCUGUCUGAGAAUCUNUGAGUGAUGGAUGGUCUAUAAGAGAAACAAGAAUUCAUUAGUACUGGAACCAUAUUGAUGCAGCAAUAAAUGCCAUAGCACAGGAAUAUGCCAAUGAGUAUGAUGGCAAAGACAAAGACUAACAAUGUUUUCCACCAGGAAGUACCAAGAACCAGGAGCUAAGAUAUUGUUUCCAUGACAAAGUUGCUGAGGACAUGGCUUCUAUCUGAGCAUGUAAAUCUUUAAGGACAUUUGUCACAUUGCCAGAAAUGUCAGGGAUGUAAACACAACAUUUAACUUUUAGGGUUACAGACGUUCUUUCCCUUAAGAUAUAGUUUAAUAAUUUAAUGUCAUCUGAUCUUGCAAAAUCCUUUUACUAGUAUGACCUCUGUGUCUAGAGAAAUCUUUAAUUCUGUUACUUAGGGCUGGAUAACCAUACUAGCAAACAUUAAGCCUACCUGUGUAGGUUAGAAAUAAAGGCCUUAAACUAAAAACUACUCUGGCAGUUCCUUUUGAUAGUUAUCAGGCAUUCCUGUCUGAGAAUCUCUUUUGUAGCCUCCAGUUUACUUAUUUUUGGAAGUUACAUUUAACUAUUAUUAUUUA
rnacentral:lncRNA from 1 species